rnacentral:rRNA from 1 species
UACGUAGGGUGCGAGCGUUAAUCGGAAUUACUGGGCGUAAAGCGUGCGCAGGCGGUUAUUUAAGUCAGGUGUGAAAGCCCUGGGCUUAACCUAGGAAUUGCGCUUGAGACUGGAUAGCUUGGAGUGCGGCAGAGGGAGGUGGAAUUCCACGUGUAGUAGUGAAAUGCGUAGAGAUGUGGAGGAACACCGAUGGCGAAGGCAAUCCCCUGGACCUGUACUGACGCUCAUGCACGAAAGCGUGGGGAGCAAACAGG